AACUGAUACUACCUGCGGGAACCUGCGGAGGGAUCAUUACCGAGCGUUGCCCCCCUGAAAAAUGGGGGGUGCCUCCCGUCCUUUGCAGGCCCCUCGGGGCUCUCGAACCUUCUGCUUCGGCGGGCCCCCCCGCCGGAACACCCUCCAAAAACUCUUGUCGAAACGGUGGCGUCCGAGGGCUUUUGAAAAAUCUAGCCAAAACUUUCAACAAUGGAUCUCU
rnacentral:misc_RNA from 1 species